UACGGAGGCUGCGAGCGUUGUCCGGAUUUACUGGGUUUAAAGGGUGCGUAGGCGGCUUACUAAGUCAGGGGUUAAAAACAGCGGCUCAACCGUUGGGCUGCCUCUGAUACUGAUAAGCUGGAGUUCUCACGAGGUAAGCAGAAUUGGCAGUGUAGCGGUGAAAUGCAUAGAUACUGCCAGGAAUACCGAUUGCGAAGGCAGCUUACUGGAGAGAAACUGACGCUGAGGCACGAAAGCGUGGGGAGCAAACAGG
rnacentral:rRNA from 1 species